rnacentral:rRNA from 1 species
GACGAACGCUGGCGGCGUGCUUAACACAUGCAAGUCGAACGGAAAGGCCCUGCUUUUGUGGGGUUCUCGAGUGGCGAACGGGUGAGUAACACGUGAGUCACCUGCCCUUUACUUUGGGAUAACUUCAGGAAACUGCUGCUAAUACCUGAUUGGUGCUCCUGCUGCAUGGUGGGGGUUGGAAAGUUUAGGCGGUUGGGGAUGUACUUGCGGCUUAUCAGCUUGUUGGUGGGGUAGUGGCUUACCAAGGCUUUGAAGGGUAGUCGGCCUGAGAGGGUGAACGGGCACAUUGGGACUGAGAUACGGAGCAGACUCCUACGGGAGGCAGCAGUGGGGAAUAUUGCACAAUGGGCGGAAGCCUGAUGCAGAAACGUCGCGUGCGGGAUGAAGGCCUUCGGGGUGUAAACCGCUUUCGCCUGUGACGAAGCGUGAGUGACGGUAAUGGGUAAAGAAGCACCGGCUAACUACGUG